AAAAAGACAAACCCUGGUUUCCGUGCCUAACAUUUGACCGUCCAUCUUAUUUGAAAAAAUUAUGAAAAGAAUUAAAAAGAUAAGUCACGCAUAAAAUAUUAAUCGUGUUUUAUCAUCUAACAACAAUGAAAAUACGAAUUAUAAAAAAAUUUCAUAUAAGACGGACAGUCAAAGUUGGACACGGAAAUCCAAGGUUUAUCUUUUU
rnacentral:pre_miRNA from 1 species